GACGAACGCUGGCGGCGUGCUUAACACAUGCAAGUCGAACGAAGAGCGACGGAAGCUUGCUUCUAUCAAUCUUAGUGGCGAACGGGUGAGUAACGCGUAAUCAACCUGCCCUUCAGAGGGGGACAACAGUUGGAAACGACUGCUAAUACCGCAUACGAUCUAAUCUCGGCAUCGAGGAUGGAUGAAAGGUGGCCUCUACAUGUAAGCUAUCACUGAAGGAGGGGAUUGCGUCUGAUUAGCUAGUUGGAGGGGUAACGGCCCACCAAGGCGAUGAUCAGUAGCCGGUCGGAGAGGAUGAACGGCCACAUUGGGACUGAGACACGGCCCAGACUCCUACGGGAGGCAGCAGUGGGGAAUCUUCCGCAAUGGACGAAAGUCUGACGGAGCAACGCCGCGUGAGGGAUGACGGCCUUCGGGUUGUAAAGCUCUGUUAAUCGGGACGAAAGGCCUUCUUGCGAAUAGUGAGAAGGAUUGACGGUACCGGAAUAGAAAGCCACGGCUAACUACGUG
rnacentral:rRNA from 1 species